UACGUAGGGCGCAAGCGUUAUCCGGAAUUAUUGGGCGUAAAGGGCUCGUAGGCGGUCUGUCGCGUCGGGAGUGAAAACUCAGGGCUUAACCCUGAGCCUGCUUCCGAUACGGGCAGACUAGAGGUAUGCAGGGGAGAACGGAAUUCCUGGUGUAGCGGUGAAAUGCGCAGAUAUCAGGAGGAACACCGGUGGCGAAGGCGGUUCUCUGGGCAUUACCUGACGCUGAGGAGCGAAAGUGUGGGGAGCGAACAGG
rnacentral:rRNA from 1 species